GAGAGUUGGCAAUACCCGAAGUCCGUGAGCUAACCGCAAGGAGGCAGCGGCCGAAGGUAGGGUCAGCGAUUGGGG
rnacentral:tRNA from 1 species